rnacentral:rRNA from 1 species
AUUGCAUGUCCGCGUCGUAAUUUUGAUACACACUGUACAAUGGAUUUCUCGGCUCCCACAUCGAUGAAGAACGCAGCAAAGCGCGAUAGGUAGUGUGAAUUGCAGAAUACCGUGAAUCAUCGAAUUUUUGAACGCAUAUUGCGCCCGGGUUUGAGCC